GACGAACGCUGGCGGCGUGCUUAACACAUGCAAGUCGAACGAAGUGGCGCACGGGUGAGUAACGCGUAAUCAACCUGCCCUUCAGAGGGGGACAACAGUUGGAAACGACUGCUAAUACCUCAUACUGAAGGAGGGGAUUUCGUCUGAUUAGCUCGUUGGCGGGGUAACGGCCCACCAAGGCGAUGAUCAGUAGACGGUCUGAGAGGAUGAACGGCCACAUUGGGACUGAGACACGGCCCAGACUCCUACGGGAGGCAGCAGUGGGGAAUUUUGGACAAUGGGCGCAAGCCUGAUCCAGCCAUGCCGCGUGUCUGAAGAAGGCCGUCGGGUUGUAAAGGACUUUUGUCAGGGAAGCGGUACCUAACGAAUAAGCACCGGCUAACUCCGUGCCAGCAGCCGCGGUAAUAC
rnacentral:rRNA from 1 species